GAAGAGGUGAUUCAAGUGGGAAAAUGCCUGCCUAGCAAGUAGGAGGUCCUGGGUUCAAAUCCUAGUUCA
rnacentral:tRNA from 1 species